UAGAUUCAAUCAACGCUUGUAAACGUUGCCUCAAGAUUAAAUGCAAUAGUUUUUUUUUCUCUCCAUUUCGUAAAAAAACGAACUCAACAAUAUCUUUUUUUUGUUGAAAAACAAAAAAACCAACACAUGUAUUUAUGUGUAUCUAUUACUCCUCAAUGUUAAGGACUAAUUUUGAGUGAAUCCAUGUUAGAAUCCUUUGGUGACUGAGCGGUACACGGCGUAUCACCUGGUGUAUUUAUGACUUUCAGCUGCACCUGCGCGUGAAACUGCUUCGUGACCUUUUGUUUUGGUUUUGGCUUAAGCCUGGAGGGCUGCUUUGCUAGCUGAUCACGACCAGUAAUGUGCCUAUUUCAGUGUGCGCGUUUGAUUUGUUAAAGAGCUUUAUGUCGUGUUAUCGUGCUCUGCUUCAGUUGCUGCACUUCCAUUUGAGCGAAAUUAUGUAACUUUAGAGGGUGCAGACGGCUAAAUUUGUGCGAUGUGCCUAAUGCAAUUGUGGCCACUAAAAUUAAAGGGGUACGACUGCACAGAACACGGCAGAUGUUGCGCCGAAAGUAGACACGUGCAUUAGCGCAAAUGGAAACUGCGUAGGAAGCGUGGCUCCAUUGAAUUACCAGUCAUGCGAUUCGCUCAUUACCGAUGCAACAAGCGUGGCUCAUUUCACGUGAUGCAUCAAAGUGAAAUUUGUAAAAAAAUAUUUCUUGGCGUCUGUAUGAAGGGCUGCUGCGCACCAAGUUCUCCCGCUGUUCCCCCACACCUCCAGCUCCCAGUAGAUGACUGCGCGAAGGGCGUGCCCGCUCUCCGUGGUCUAGGGAGCCAGGGUUUCCAAGAACUCGGAUGAUAGUCCUCCUCCGCCUUGCCCCGCUCUGUGAUAGGCAGCUUGGUGCUGCAUUGGCCAAUAGUGGGCAGUGUAGAGCGCAAUGGUUUGACUGGUGAGCCUGUAUGCCAGGCUGGAAGAUUUAAACAGAGGUUAGAUACUGCUGUUGUGACAUUGUUUUCAGGCACGUUUUCUGUGUGUAUCAAUCUGUUUUAACCAUUGAAAUGUAUUGGAAAUGUAAGCUCCGCUAGUUAACAACGGUGCCUGCUAAGCAAGUGGGCGAAUAAUUUCAUAUGUAAAAUAACGAAGAGGAAUUCUGCAUCGGCUGCUGGAAAUGAAGAGCGUGGGGGAUCGUGUUAUUGUGUGUCCUGAGAACAGUACACAACCUCUCUAAAAACCUCUUUUUUUUUUACACGAGCAGAGAGGAGCUUCUCUAGGAGUGCCAAGUAUUUACUCUCUCUCUCUCUCUCUCUCUCCCUCUCUCUCCCUCUCCCUCUCCCUCUCCCUCUCCCUCUCUCUCUCUCUCUCUCCUCUCUCUCUUCUCUCUCUCUCUCUCUCUCUCUCUCUCUCUCUCUCUCUCUCUCUCUCUCUCUCUCUCUCUCUCUCUCUCUCUCUCUCUCUCUCUCUCUCUCUCUCUCUCCGUGUUUGUAUUUGCUCGCAUCCUUGCGUGGUGCAGUUGAUUUUGUUCUAUGCGUGUAAGGAUGAGCGAGCUGGACAUCUGUUUCUGAAGGGCCAUUUGACAAGCCAGCCUGCUGGCCUAUCGAGGAGUGUCAUUAAAGGACCCCCCCCCCCCAUUCAAUGGCUGUUGCGAAGUACUGUGGGGGGCACAGACAGGCUUCUUCAGUGGCGUUAGGUAACCGCAGCACCUGGCCCAUUAGAUAAAGCCAGGGCCGCUCUCACUGCUCUUAGCUUCUGAGGCCUGUCAGCGGAGGGGGUGUCCGUCUGUCUGUCCGCUCGUCUUAACGCUGUGUGCCACGACGCACCCGUCUGUUUCACUUACCUGUCUCCCACCCCCCCCCCCCCCCCCUUUGCAGCAGACCGCCUUCUUAACUCAGGAUCUGUCUAUUGACUCUCCUGCCUAAAAAAAACCCCCACAAAACUCACAUUACAUUACAUUUAUUUAGCGGACGCUUUUAUCCAAUAGCGAUGUACAAAAGUGCAGCUCACCUGCCGUCGUACUUUUACAAGACCUGUGAUUACGCUGUAUGCCCGUAUCAGAACGGCGUACCAGUGCCUGUUCUGAGGGCAGGUGUGAGAGCAGGUGUGAGGGCUGUGUGAGGGCUGUGUGAGGGCAGGUGUGAGGGCUGUGUGAGGGCAGGUGUGAGGGCAGGUGUGAGGGCUGUGUGAGGGCUGUGUGAGGGCAGGUGUGAGGGCUGUGUGGUGACUGGCGAUAGAUUUCUACGCCAGUGUUCAUAAAGCCCACCAGCAGCGUAAGAAACCCCCUGCUGGACAUUUGCACUGUGGCAAAGCUGAGUGUCUUAAACUGGGAUAAGUGUGGUGGUCGACUGGCAAAAUAAAUAAAAACGUGUCUUUGCUAUUUAAACCAGUUAAAAUAACGUUCCUGCGAUGCUCUUAACAAGAGGGCAGAAACCGCGACUUGCCUCUGUGUGAGCAGUGAUUCAUUAGAGACUGCUGUAGUGGUCUAAACUCCAAAGGUGUAUUAAAAAAAGGUGUUUUUUUUACCCACAAUGCCUCUGGAACAAAACUAAGCCCCAUAAAACACUUUAGCCAGUAUUUCCAUGGAGAAGUCAGAGCUUGGUGUGUAGAGUAUGUGUAUGCACUCUGGGAGGUGUGUUUCACUGUGCACUGCUCUGUUUGUUUGUGCCGGGGAGGGGCUAACCCUCUCAUAAAUGUGAUUGGCCCCCUCCUCGCGAAUCAGCCCCAGAGUGGCAGCCCUGUUACCUACCUCUCCUAGCCAACGGCCAAUACUGAGUCUCCAUAACACACACACACACACACACACACACACACACACACACACACACACACACAGGUGUUUGAUUUUCCUCUGAAGCACACAACCACAUGCUUUCUAUGUUGAUGUUUUUCACUGGUGUGUACACACACGCAUGCACACAUUUCACUGAUUGACAGAUAAUUACACCAGAAAUCAAUAAAAGCUGUCUGUUUCCUUUAUAAGUGACAUAUUUGAACCUACCCAAUACCCCACCCUUCACUUCACUUUUCAACUCUUUCUCUUUCUUUCUCUCACUCACUCUCUCACUCUCACUCACACUCACUCUCUCACUCACUCACUCACUCACUCACUCUCUCUGUCUCUCUCUGCCUCUCACUCACUCUCACUCUCUCUCUCUCAAGCGGUAAACGGUGAUGUGACGUCUGUGUUAAUGCUGCAGAAGCGGUGUCUCGUCUCUCUUGUCUUGUUUGCCCAGAGCAGUGGCUUCUGAGCGCGCUCAGAGCCCGCAGAGAGCCCCGCCUGGUUACGCUCAUUUCCUCCCUUUCACCACGUUCACAUUGGCAAAAAAAAACAAAAAAACAAAACAAAAAAGGUAAUCAUUGCAUGGGGAGGCCAGUGUUUGUGUUUCCACACAGCCAUACCCACUCUGUGUCCAAUAAAAACGCAGAGUAACCUGUAUAAACAAAUAACCUCUUUCCACGGCCCUCUCCAGUGACGAGCCGGCUAUGAAAUGCUAUCUGGUAAACUUAAAUGGUCUUCCACACACAAGUCCCCUCCCACAAAAAAAAUGUAUGUUUUUCAGUUUCCCCACACC